rnacentral:rRNA from 1 species
UACAGAGGUCUCAAGCGUUGUUCGGAUUCAUUGGGCGUAAAGGGUGCGUAGGCGGUCGCGCAAGUCGGAUGUGAAAUCUCAGGGCUCAACCCUGAAACUGCAUUCGAUACUGCGUGGCUAGAGUGCUGGAGGGGAGACUGGAAUUUACGGUGUAGCAGUGAAAUGCGUAGAUAUCGAGAGGAACACCUGCGGCGAAGGCGGGUUGCUGGGCUGACACUGACGCUGAGGCGCGAAAGCCAGGGGAGCGAACGGG